rnacentral:misc_RNA from 1 species
AUAAAAAAUUAAUAGGCCAGGAGAUACCAAGCAUAUUGUACAAAUAAAUAUUGUACUUAAUAUCUAAUCGAAACAAUUCACUUAUAUUAUAAUGAAAUCGUAUCUCUUUAGAGCAAUAAAUUUUUGCACAAUACAGAUUGGUAGAGAAAUCAGAGAGAGAUAAGGUUGCAAUUUAUGGUAUAAAGCAUAGGUGUGAUGGAGUGUAACUAACUUGUAUGCACGUAGAACCGACCUUUCCGUUUGGCCGGCCGCAAAACGUGCAAAGCACUGAUCCAGUCUGGAUUAACACGGGAGCUUAAGGGUCUACUUGCCACAAACAUAUCUGGCCAUCAUAACAUCCUGUUACUAAUGUUUUUUGAUCUCGAGACAAAUAGAUACAGGAAACACAAUGAGUUGGAGCUAUACGACCCCAUAAAACUAUGGGUACUACUAAGCUUGUGCCCGCUGUCAUUUUAAAAAUUCAACCUACAAUUUAUUACAAACUGGAUUAAAUAAAAAUUAAUAUCGAAAUAUCUACAUAAUUAACUUAUUAUUUUAGCAAACAUAGUCAUUAUAACAUUGAACACAAAGUUGGAAUAUAACGAAUACAAUUAAUAUAAAAUUGAAUAAAAUCACUAAACAACUUAUUUAUAUUUUGUAAACGUAAUUAAAAUGAACUCUUGUCUUUUUUGUUAUAAUUAUACAUAACAUUACGUGUAACAAAUUAUUAACAUAUUUUAAUAAAAAUAAUUCUAUAAUGAUGAUAUAUCAUCU